GUUAGUAUUUCCGGCCAUGUGGGUGGUGAGACGGGGGUGGAAGGACCACUGUGGCCUGGUGGUGGGUUGGGAGCUGUCAGCCUCCCCGUGACAGGGGCUUCUGGCCCACUCAGACCGAUUAGAAAAGUGGCUGUGACAUGGGGUGGGAUCAAGGAAACCCUGAGGAUUUGACUCUGGUUGGCAGAAGUGGGGAAUCCAAAAAGGAAGCUGGGUGUGGAGAGGAAGAUGCUGAAUUUUAAACAUUUAAACUGCCGAGUUUGUGGUUCUGGAAAAAUAUCCAAGUGGAGUAUCCAGCCAGCUGGGGGAAAUGUAGGGCUGGAAAUCUGGAGAGAGAUUGGGGCGACAUCUACAUACAUGUGAAUGAUUACAGGAGAAGGGCUCAGGAUUUUUAUGGGACAAAGGGAGGAAGAUGGGGUAGGUCGUAUUAAAGAAGCAUUCGUGGGGCUGGCCCCGUGGAGGAGUGGUUAAGUUCGCGCGCUCUGCUGCAGGCGGCCCAGUGUUUCGUUGGUUCGAAUCCUGGGCGUGGACAUGGCACUGCUCAUGAAACCACGCUGAGGCAGCGUCCCACAUGCCACAACUAGAAGGACCCACAACGAAGAAUAUACAACUAUGUACCGGGGGCUUUGGGGAGAAAAAGGAAAAAAAAAUAAAAUCUUUAAAGAAGCGUUCGUUGGUGGUAGAUGAGGUAAGGCUAGGUUUAUACUUCAUAGAUUGGCUUGAGAUUUGGUCAUCAGGCAAAAGGCUAGACUUGUACUUCAUUGAUUGCUUAGGGAUCUGGUUAUCAGGAAAGUCCAGUUUCUUCAGUCCUUAUAAACAGGAUAUUCUUGUCUUUACUGACUUCUUGGAAUGUUAGUGGUUUGGAAGAUAAAGAAAACAAGACGUGCAAGGCAAUUCCUCUGAAAUGGCUGCUCCAGCUCUAUCUUAAUAUGGUUCCCUUCAUGUCCUCUUUCACAAUUCUUGUUUGAGAAGUUUGUUGGUGAAAGGAGAAAGAUGAAAUGUCAGGUUCAGGUCAGGUUUGAUCCAGGAUAUGUGUGUUUGUGUGGAGCAGGAAAUGAGCCCAGGAGAGGGGCAGAUUGGAGAUGCUGGUGGGUACUCUGUGAGGAGGACAGGCCUCCAAGAGCUUGGGAAGGAGAAGGUCCUUGAGAAGGAUGUUGGGCGUCCUUUCCUUUGGGAUAGUCGAGAGGGAAGAAAAUGGUGACAACACUGCUAAUUUGAAAUUUAAAAGAAAAAGGUAUAUGCAGUAUACCAGAGACUGUAAUUUCCCAAUAUCUAUUCCCUCUUUCAUUCGUAGUAAGCAGUGUGCCCCCUCCUGAAUUUUUAGCCCAGAAAAUGACUGUUGGGAAAGAAGUCUACUUUUUCCAGCUUUCCUUGAAGCUGAAAGAGAGCACAUGCCUAAGUUUUGGCUGAUGGGAUGUAAAUGGAAGUGCUGGGGAUAACUUCUGAGAAGUUUCCAUAAGGGGAAGGGGGUACCCUUCUUCUCCUUUUUCCUUUUUCCUGCAGGUUAGACUGUGGAUAUGAUGGCUGGAGGUGGACAAGCCACUUUAGACCAACAGGUAUCCUUGGGAAUGGAGAUCAGGCAAGGUGAAGCAGCGAAAUAAAAGGAACCUGAGGGGCCGGCCCCAUGGCUGAGUGGUUAAGUCCAUGCACUCUGCUUCAGCGCCCCAGGGUUCACUGGUUUGGAUCCUGGGUGUGGACCUACAUACCACCCAUCAAGCCAUGCUGUGGCAGCAUCCCACAUAGAAGAACUGGCAUGACUUGCAACUAGGAUAUACAACUAUGCACUGGGGCUUUGGGGAGUAAAAGAAAAAAAAGAAGAAGAUUGGCAACAGGUGUUAGCUCAGGGCUAAUCUUCCUCACUAAAAAAAAACUUAUCCUUAAAAAAAAAAAAGGAAACUGAGUCUCUGAUAUUGUGGUGUGUCAACUAGACUCAAAUCCUCAGGGGGGUCCUUGAUGCCUCCCCAUGUUAUGGCCACAGUUCCAUUUCCUGGCCUCUCACUUCCUGACUUUUGCAUGAGAGAGAAAUCAAAUCACUGCUAAUUUGGGUUUUCUGUUACCGGUAGCUAGUUGUAGUCCUAACCGAUAUCUGAGGGCAUUCUUUCAGGGUAGGCUUGACCUCAGUAAAGUCAACAUGGAGAGCCAGCCCUGAUGGCCUAGUGGUUAAAGUUCAACGUGGGUUUGCUCUCUGGGUGUGGAACCACACCACCCACCAUCUGUCAGUAGCCAUGCUGUGAUGGCAGCUCACAUGGAAGAACUAGAAAGACUCACAACUAUGUACUGAGGCUUUGGGGAGGGGGAAAAAAAAGAGAGAGGAAGAUUGGCAACAGAUGUUAGCUCAGGGCAAAUCUUUCCCAGCAAAAAAAAAAAAAGUCAACAUGGAGACCAUCUUUGAAGUGGAGGAUGUGAAGUACGAGCAACAGGGAUGGGAUCUGGGACGGCUGCUGACAGUGAGACACUUCUAAAGAUACACCUGGGGGACGUGUGAGAGAACCGCCUGCCUAUGGGGCCAGGGACUCCAAACCACACCCGGCUGCCUCCAGGACAGAGGAGAUCAAGAUCUCAGUUUUCAGGACACCUACUGGAAAGCUCUGGGUCGAGCUGCAGAAGCCUUCUGAGAGAAACAGCACAUCCAGGGCAGGAGAUGUUGGCCUCAAGGCAUGAGCCAGCAAUAUUCCGAGGGUUCUAGGAAUGGCGCCUCGCAGUGUGAGCACUAGGUGAAAUUGACCUACCACAGCUCUCAGAGUUCUCGUGCAGUUCUGAUACAGCUCUGCAAUGUGCACGAACGAGGAUAAGCUUCAGAGGGCUAAAAUCAUGGUCUUGGCACCUCAAACAGUCUCAGAUAAAUCAAAAUGGGAUUCCGGAAAAGGGAAAAAGGUCUUGAGACCCAUGAUUUCCAUUUCUGCUAAGGAAAAGACUCGAUGGAAGACACAAAAUAAUGAUGAAAUAGGAAAUAGCCCAGAAAAAGAAGCAUCAAAGAAAGAUUAUUCCUCUAAGAUUUUAUCCUUGGGUAAAAUGGAUGGUGUAGUAAAGCUUUCAUAGCAAAGGAUUUUGUCAGCUAAAAGCACGAGGGAAAAGGCCAAACCACUGUGAUUUACCAGCAUCCCCUGCAAGGGCCUCUUUGCACAAAUGAUCCCUGGGAAUCUGUAUCUGAACUCAUCUCAGAAAGAUGGCUUUUUCAUAGCCUCGAUUACAGUUCAGUUCCUCAGAAGUGUUUCUUUGCAGAGAAGAUCUCAGUUUGAAGCAAAAUUGUUGAAGACCUCAAACGAU
rnacentral:lncRNA from 1 species